UACGUAGGUGGCAAGCGUUGUCCGGAUUUACUGGGCGUAAAGGGCGUGCAGGCGGUUUGUUAAGUGCAGGGUGAAAGCUCCCGGCUCAACUGGGAGAGGUCCUUGCAUACUGGCAGACUUGAGGGAGGCAGAGGAAAGUGGAAUUCCCGGUGUAGUGGUGAAAUGCGUAGAUAUCGGGAGGAACAUCAGUGGCGAAGGCGGCUGCCUGGCCCAAUACUGACACUCAGGUGCGACAGCGUGGGGAGCAAACAGG
rnacentral:rRNA from 1 species